rnacentral:rRNA from 1 species
AUUGAACGCUGGCGGCAGGCCUAACACAUGCAAGUCGAGCGGAUGAAGGGAGCUUGCUCCUGGAUUCAGCGGCGGACGGGUGAGUAAUGCCUAGGAAUCUGCCUGGUAGUGGGGGAUAACGUCCGGAAACGGGCGCUAAUACCGCAUACGUCCUGAGGGAGAAAGUGGGGGAUCUUCGGACCUCACGCUAUCAGAUGAGCCUAGGUCGGAUUAGCUAGUUGGUGGGGUAAAGGCCUACCAAGGCGACGAUCCGUAACUGGUCUGAGAGGAUGAUUAGUCACACUGGAACUGAGACACGGUCCAGACUCCUACGGGAGGCAGCAGUGGGGAAUAUUGGACAAUGGGCGAAAGCCUGAUCCAGCCAUGCCGCGUGUGUGAAGAAGGUCUUCGGAUUGUAAAGCACUUUAAGUUGGGAGGAAGGGCAGUAAGUUAAUACCUUGCUGUUUUGACGCUACCAACAGAAUAAGCACCGGCUAACUUCGUG